UUUUCAAAUUGUAAAAAUAUUAUUAUUAUUAUUUUCGGAUUUGAUAAAAAAAAAAAAUUGACUUUGGAUAAUUUACAAAAACGGAUUUUGCAUACUGGAAAAAAAAAUUGGCAAAGGUGGAUAAAGGCUGAUAACAAAAUCAGUUAAAAUUUUGAUCCUAUCCCAUGAACUUUCUAGAGUCUCAAGAUUGAUUUAUAAAUAUAUGUUUCAUCUUUCUAAUACUAUCAUUACGAUUUAAAAAAAAAAAAAAAAAAGUUUCGAAGCCGAAAUACCGACUUUGGAAAGCAACUCGUCACUUUCCUCAUUGUUGGGUAUGAUAAUUGAUCAUUACUAUCUACUUUAUUUAAUUACUUACUGAUCUUCUCCUUGGUUCACUUAAUUAGACUUUGUGGUGGAUGUUCUGGCUCUUGGGUUCGAAAGUUUGGUAGGUGAUUAUGAUGAUGAUGAUAUAAUAUCUCACGUUUGACUCAUCAAUUAGUUCAUCUAGUUGUCUAUUUUUGGGGUGAUUAGACUAUGGGUGGUGACAAAUCAAUUUUACGCUCAAUUCUUUUUUUUCCGUUAGUCGUACAAUUAUCUAAUUUAGGCUAUUUAUUUGUCUAUUUGUAGACGGAGGCUACUAGGUGAUCAUUCCGGAGUUAAUUACCUUGAAUUUUUACGCACAAUCAAGGUUGGUAGAAAGGGUACUCGGUUACGUGUGAUGAGACGUUAGAAUAAUCACGUAGCUAAGACAAUUUAGUUUAUCCCCGAGUUUAAUUAUUUCCUCUCAGUUAUUGGUUUCAAAUAAUUGCAGUUUUGAUGUAA